rnacentral:rRNA from 1 species
AUUGAACGCUGGCGGCAGGCCUAACACAUGCGAGUCGAGCGGAUGAAGGGAGCUUGCUCCUGGAUUCAGCGGCGGACGGGUGAGUAAUGCCUAGGAAUCUGCCUGGUAGUGGGGGAUAACGUCCGGAAACGGGGGCUAAUACCGCAUACGUCCUGAGGGAGAAAGUGGGGGAUCUUCGGACCUCACGCUAUCAGAUGAGCCUAGGUCGGAUUAGCUAGUUGGUGGGGUAAAGGCCUACCAAGGCGACGAUCCGUAACUGGUCUGAGAGGAUGAUCAGUCACACUGGAACUGAGACACGGUCCAGACUCCUACGGGAGGCAGCAGUGGGGAAUAUUGGACAAUGGGCGAAAGCCUGAUCCAGCCAUGCCGCGUGUGUGAAGAAGGUCUUCGGAUUGUAAAGCACUUUAAGUUGGGAGGAAGGGCAGUAAGUUAAUACCUUGCUGUUUUGACGUUACCAACAGAAUAAGCACCGGCUAACUUCGUG